rnacentral:rRNA from 1 species
CCUACGGGAGACAGCAGUGGGGAAUCUUGGACAAUGGGCGCAAGCCUGACCCAGCGACGCCGCGUGGGUGAAGAAGUAUUUCGGUAUGUAAAGCUCUAUCAUCAGGGAAGAAAGAAGACGGUAGCUGACUAAUAAUCCCCGGCUAACUACGUGCCAGCAGCCGCGGUCAAACGAAGGGGGCGAGCGUUAGCCGGAUUCACUGGGUGUAAAGGGAGCGUAGAGUGGCGUGCAAGACAGGAGUGAAAGCCCGGGGCCCAAACCCGGGACUGCUUUUGGAACUGUGCGGCUGGAGUGCGGGAGGGGCAGGCGGAAUUCCUGGUGUAGCGGUGAAAUGCGUAGAUAUCAGGAGGAACACCGGCGGCGAAGGCGGCCUGCUGGACCGCGACUGACGUUGAGGCUCGAAAGCGUGGGGAGCGAACAGGAUUAGAUACCCUUGUAGUC